rnacentral:rRNA from 1 species
ACUCAAAUGAAUAGACGGGGGCCCGCACAAGCGGUGGAGUAUGUGGUUUAAUUCGAAGCAACGCGAAAAACCUUACCUGGCCUUGACAUCCCGUGACCGCUGCAGAGAUGUAGUUUUCCCUUCGGGGACACGGAGACAGAUGCUGCAUGGCUGUCGUCAGCUCGUGUUGUGAAAUGUUGGGUUAAGUCCCGCAACGAGCGCAACCCCUGUCUUUAGUUACCAGCAUUAAGUUGGGGACUCUAGAGAGACUGCCGGUGUUAAACCGGAGGAAGGCGGGGAUGACGUCAAGUCCUCAUGGCUCUUACGGCCAGGGCUACACACGUACUACAAUGGCAGAAACAAACCGUUGCGAAGCCGCGAGGUGGAGCUAAUCGGUAAAACACUGUCUCAGUCCGGAUUGGAGUCUGCAAUUCGACUCCAUGAAGUUGGAAUCGCUAGUAAUCGCAGAUCAGCACGCUGCGGUGAAUACGUUCCCGGGCCUUGUACACACCGCCCGU